rnacentral:ncRNA from 1 species
ACACCGGCAUUGACCGGGAAGAGUAUCUGCUAUGGGGCACAAAACAGAGAGCGCCGCAAAUGCUGAGAGCGGCGCGUGCAUCCGGCAGAGAAAGACACCCGUGAGCCGCACGAAAGUGCGUUUUCCGCGUUAAGGAAAGAAAGGGGAGGGGAAGCUUUCGCUUUUUCUCCCGAAAAAGGGUGGCACCACGAACCUGUUUCGUCCCUUAU